rnacentral:rRNA from 1 species
AUUGAACGCUGGCGGCAGGCUUAACACAUGCAAGUCGAGCGAGCGGCGGACGGGUGAGUAGUGUCUGGGAAACUGCCUGAUGGAGGGGGAUAACUACUGGAAACGGUAGCUAAUACCGCAUACCAUCAGAUGUGCCCAGAUGGGAUUAGCUAGUGGGUGGGGUAAUGGCUCACCUAGGCGACGAGCCCUAGCUGGUCGGAGAGGAUGACCGGCCACCCUGGAACUGAGCCACGGCCCAGACUCCUCCGGGAGGCAGCAGUGGGGAAUAUUGCACAAUGGGCGCAAGCCUGAUGCAGCACUGCCGCGUGUGUGAAGAAGGCUUUCGGUUUGUAAAGCACUUUCAGCGAGGAGGCGUUACUCGCAGAAGAAGCACCGGCUAACUCCGUGCCAGCAGCCGCGGUAAUAC